rnacentral:rRNA from 1 species
UACGUAGGGGGCAAGCGUUGUCCGGAUUUACUGGGCGUAAAGCGCGCGUAGGCGGGAGGAGAAGUCCGGUGUGAAAGCCCACGGCUCAACCGUGGAAGGUCGCUGGAAACUCUUCUUCUUGAGGGCGACAGAGGGAAGUGGAAUUUACGGUGCAGCGGUGAAAUGCGUAGAUAUCGUAAGGAAGACCAGUGGCGAAGGCGGGUCUCUGGACAGUUCCUGACGCUGAGGCACGAAGGCCAGGGGAGCAAACGGG